CUCUUUCAUAAUACUUGAAUGUUCUAAAUUUUAGAAGUACAUUGCGCCAGGUCCCCUAAAUUCUGGCAUGUAAUUUAAAGAUGGCCUCCCUCACUCAAAACCACCAGGAACUCAAAGUCCUAAUUCAAAUAUUCAGCCUUUUGUAAAAAAAUAAAAAAAAUUGAAAAGGUUAUAUCAUGUAAAUAAAUUGACUAAUAAGUUACAGCGCGGCUUUUCAUUACCCGUCUUGGGAAAGACAGACGUCUCCCAGAAUCUCUUCCUGCUUUCUUCCGGAAGAGUGUUUGGGAAUCUAUAAAGAUAUAAAGAACAUUUUUCUUUACAAGGCUGAGGGAACUUGGAUGCCAUAAUUAGCAUGCACAGUGGAACACAGAAGCUCCAAAGCAUUUAGCUUUAUUUGCAAUCUUCCUAACUCCUGUUUCGUGAAAGGCGAAACUUGUGCUGGGAGACAAGAGAAGCCUGUCCAUUAUAUUGAUCUUUGGGGCCUCGAGAAUAGCUUUGGGCAGUGAUAAUGCCCAUUGCAUACCCCAGAUUGCAAGUGGCCUCAUGUAAAU
rnacentral:misc_RNA from 1 species